rnacentral:rRNA from 1 species
GCUUCUAUGACGUUAGCGGCGGACGGGUGAGUAACACGUGGGCAACCUGCCUGUAAGAGUGGGAUAACUUCGGGAACCGAAGCUAAUACCGGAUAGGAUCUUCUCCUUCAUGGGAGAGGAUUGAAAGAUGGUUUCGGCUAUCACUUACAGAUGGGCUCGCGGUGCAUUAGCUAGUUGGUGAGGUAACGGCUCACCAAGGCAACGAUGCAUAGCCGACCUGAGAGGGUGAUCGGCCACACUGGGACUGAGACACGGCCCAGACUCCUACG